UGAGAAGUGCCUGGAGAAGGAAAGGCACCAGCAUGCCUGGUGGGGGUUGCUUCUCUGUGCAUCUUCAUGUAAAACAUCAGGGGCUUCCAGUUUUCUGACCCUUUAAGGAGUUUUUUGACCCUUACUCUCACAAGGACAAAAUUGGAGACACUGGUUAUUUUCCCCAAGGCUUUGAAUGAAUGACAUGCUUUCGGAUACAAACAGACUCCUUUAAGAAAUCAAUGUUAACUUAGAGAGCCAAUAAAAUCCCCUUGGGAAAAGUGGACCCACAUCUUGUCUACACAAUCCCUGUGCAGGCUUUCUCACCUGUGGAACGCCUGACUGGUAUGAGAAAAAUGCCUCAACUAAGCCUGUGUACAACUUCAGCAAACACACUGUGCUUGCAGCCCCUCCCAAGUGCUGGCAGGCCACUGAGCAUGCAGACAGCCUACCCCAAAAGAAGUAACGGGGAGAAGUAACACAACCCCAGAAGCAUCUCAAUACAUAAAACUUCAAGUUAAAGAUCAAACAGCACACUUGAAUCUCUCAAGUCACCUGCUUGGCUCUCUUCUAAGUGUACCUUACUUUCUUUUGUUCCUGCUCUAAAACUUUUUA
rnacentral:lncRNA from 1 species